AUCAAUUUUAUAUACUGUUGUGACUUGUGCGCUUAUCCUUCAUAUGCACUUUUGGUGCAUCUCAAUACUUUUUUCCUGCUGAGAUCCUUGAUUAGGAGAGUUUCUACUUUCACUGUUUGUCUAGACUCUAGAGUCUAAAGAAAUAUGAAAGUCCCCGUCCCUGCAAAGAUGCUAUGAUUUGAAUUUUAACAUCAAUGGGUAUCAUCAUUCAAUUGUUGUUGUUGUUGUUUUUUUUCUUUUCAGAGAAAGAUGGUUCAGUGAUGCAUGGACUGGAGGGAGGGAAUCGUAAAUGGCACUCUUCAAUCCUUAUUUUGUUACCUUAAAUAAAUGAAUCACUAAAUGUUAGAUGCUAGUCACAGUAGUGUACCUUCUAUCAUAUUUGUAUUUCUUUGUAUUGUGGAAUAACUUUGACGUGCAUGUGCCUAAAGUAAUUGGUUAUAUCUCAGUGAAUUGAAACAUUCAGAGUAAUACAGAUAUUUUCCUUCUGUAUACUUAUAUGGUUAUUUGCUUUCACUAGGAUGUUUUGCAGCUUUCUUAUUUUUUCUUGGAUCUCCUUGAUUUGGAUGAGGAGGCUGGCAUGAUCCAGAAGUCAACUAACCAAACUGAUCAAAUGAGAAUGCUGAGGAACAAGCUAGUGAAUGAAAAUGCUGGUGCAUGUAUACUUAAUUGCUGAAAAUUUGGAUGCAGGGUGCCGGAAAGAAAAGAGGUAGAAGUACAGGAGGAAAACCACAAGCAAAGAUAGCAAAGAAAAAAACUCCAGGUUCCAAAAAGGCAAAGAUCAAGAAAUGAUUCAAAGAAACUCUAUGUAAUUUCUUGUAUAUGCCAUGAACCAAUAAAACUCAAUCCUUGGUUUAAAUGCAAUUUGGAGCAUAAUCUCCCUGAUAGCCCUUUUGCUUCCCCAACAAAAGUUGUUGUUCCUGGAGACUUCAUGGCUCCCUUCUCCAAUGGACCUAAUGUGACCAUUGAUGCAAAUGCCUUAUACAGAUUACAUGAAGCCUGAUACCGAGACAUACAAUUGGGUUAUUCAAGCUUAUACUAGAGUUGAAUCUUAUGCCAGAUUUCAUGAAGCCAGCUCAUGAUCAGUACAUUAACCGCCACGCCAAUGGCUUGUGUGUGAUUGGGUUGACUCCUUCCCACAUUGCUUUCAAGGAUGAAGGUGGAAUCACAGCCGUUGAUUUCAAUGUUGGAAAGUCUGAUUGCAGCGGGAUAAAAGUCAUUGGAAA